rnacentral:rRNA from 1 species
GCAAGUCGAACGCAAACGUCUUCUUCGGAAGACUAGUAGAGUGGCGCACGGGUGAGUAACGCGUAAGUAAUCUACCCUCGCAUUUGGGAUAACCCACCGAAAGGGGUUCUAAUACCGAAUACGUCCAUAAAAAUAUCUUUUUUUUAGAGAAAGGUGGCCUCUUCUUGAAAGCUACUGUGCCGAGAGGAGCUUGCGUACCAUUAGCUAGUUGGUAGGGUAAUGGCCUACCAAGGCAACGAUGGUUAGCGGGUCUGAGAGGAUGAUC